UUCAUGGAAUGAAUCUCCAUCGGGUCAAUUGCUACCUUGUCUUUAAAGUGAAAGCUCUGAUGGGGUCAGAAUGAUGCUUAAAGCGUACAAAAGGUAUCGGCUGCUGGGGCCAUGGAGCCGUGACAUCCAACAAAAACUCCUCCUUUACUUUAUCCUGUGCUUUCUUCACAUCAUGAAAGCAAAAAGUGCAGUGCGCUUUUCUCCACUCGAUCAAAGUUCUUAGAAUAUGUAUCUUUGACGAUCCGGAGAUUUUUCCUGAUGGUACAAUAAGUUAAGAGGACAGAAGGAUCCGAACUUCUUUUGCAACAAAGUUAAUUAGCUCAGCAGUUUGUGUUCUUCGAAUUGAAUAGCUCUGUGAACGAUGUGAAACACUAAAAUCGUCGAACCAGUGCAUGCUAAGUACAUCUUUUUAACUCUCUGGACCAUUUCUUUCUCCUACCUACUCUUUUAAGAAAUAUCAACUUGCGGUGUGCAGGGCCAAUUCAAUGCGAGAUACAUUCAAUACAGAAUAUAUAUUUACUCUAAGGAUGGGAACAAUUAGGCAUGAUAUAGCUCACUGUAAGCUGGUAUUGCUUCUCUAUAUUUUCCGAUGAUAUGCGAUGGGUGCUUCUUUGUGCAAUUUUAGAGUUGAAGAACUGCUGGUGAGGAACUUUUCUCAACUUAUCCAUGGAUUAUAUUGUUUCCUUCAGCCAUUUGCAUAUUUUGGCAUUACAGGGGGGAGAAAAAAAAAGAAAAAAAGGAGAGGGUCUUGCUUUUUAUUGUCCGAGGCGACGACUAAGCAUGGAUCAAGGGUGAGAGAUUCACCACGAUAUGGAUGUGUGAGUUGUCUUUCACUCAUUUCCGACUUAUGUUAUCUUUCAUCCGCCUGAGUUUUUGUACACUUAUUCGCGUUGCAAGAUUCGUGAGAUAAUGACACUGUUGGCAUCUUGAUUUGCAGCA